GACACAGAUCACAACUACUACACGUCAAAAACAUACACCCCGUCAGACCCAAUGAGCAAGGACUUGUGGGUAGAUGUGGACCAGAUGCAAAAAGACAAAGUGAAGAUCCACGGGAUUCUGUCCAACACACACCGACAAGCAGCUAGAGUCAACCUGUCCUUCGAUUUCCCCUUUUAUGGACACUUCCUGCGUGAAAUCACCGUGGCAACUGGUGGGGCCAUCUACA